CACUAUAUAUUGUUUCAGGUAUGGAAGUGUUUAGUAUAAUUCUGUGCUUGCUUCAUUGUAUAGACGUAAAACAAUUGCAAGAAAGAUGAAAACACUGAUCUUCUUGGUGCUCGCGGUUCUUGGAGCUAAUGCUGCCUCGGUGAAGACGUCCGCUGCGAGGUCUAGCUUUAACGCUGGAUUCAUCGCUGUCGGAGACACUCUUUUGCAGAGAUCUAUCGUAUACCGGGGCGGUAGGGCCAAUGAGGUCCAAACCGAAACUGUCUCCUUCAACGGCAACAGUACCACAAGGAUCACCGCAGUGCAGGCGCACGAACAAGGAGAAUUCUCCCAGAGGCCGACCGCUUG